UACGAGGGGGGCGAGCGUUGUUCGGAAUUAUUGGGCGUAAAGGGUGCGUAGGUGGGCAGGUAAGUCAGUGGUGAAAUCUCCGAGCUUAACUCGGAAACUGCCGUUGAUACUAUUUGUCUUGAAUAUUGUGGAGGUAAGCGGAAUAUGUCAUGUAGCGGUGAAAUGCUUAGAUAUGACAUAGAACACCAAUUGCGAAGGCAGCUUACUACACAACGAUUGACGCUGAGGCACGAAAGCGUGGGGAUCAAACAGG
rnacentral:rRNA from 1 species